rnacentral:rRNA from 1 species
AUUGAACGCUGGCGGCAUGCCUUACACAUGCAAGUCGAACGGCAGCAUGAUCUAGCUUGCUAGAUUGAUGGCGAGUGGCGAACGUGAGAGUAAUACACCGGACCGUGCCCUGUAGUUAGGGAUAACUAGUCGAAAGUUUAGCCACUACCGCAUACGACCUGAAGGCGGAGGUGGGGGACCGCAAGGCCUCAUGCUAUAGGCGCGGCCGAUGUCUGUUUAGCUAGUUGGUGAGGCAAAGGAUCACCAAGGCGACGAUCAGUAGCUGGUCUGAGAGGAAGAUCAGCCAAACUGGGACUGAGACACGGCCCAGACUCCUACGGGAGGGAGGAGGGGGGAAUUUUGGACAAUGGGCGAAAGCCUGAUCCAGCAAAGCCGCGUGUGUGAAGAAGGCCUUCGGGUUGUAAAGCACUUUUGUCCGGAAAGAAAUGGUUCUGGUUAAUACCUGGGGUCGAUGACGGUACCGGAAGAAUAAGGACCGGCUAACUACGUG